AUGAAAGUAAGCGUUGGACACCAGCCAAAGGGUCAGCUAUGGCUGGUCUUAGCCGUGCUGGUUGCCUUUGCAAUGCUCAGUGAGGCAGCCAGAAGCUUGCCACCACCUUCUCUUUCAGCAUCGCCAACGUAUGCUCCUAUCAUUAAGGUGAUAGGCAAAGCAUACUGCUAUAGAUGCUUCAAUGAGGCACACCCAGAAGAAUCGCAUGGGAAGGAGCACCUGGAAGGAGCCAUGGUCAAGGUCACUUGCCAGGCCAAUGACCAAGCAAUAGUGAGAUUUGGCUACACCGAAAGCAAUGGCAAAUACAGUGUGGCCAUUACCGGGUUGCCACUUAGCGGCACCUUUGGGGCUGACUCGUGCAAGGUUGAGCUCCAUGCAGCAGCAGGAGGAUCUGACUGCAAUGUGCCCAUGGAGUUAAAUCUCUCUGGAGUUAGCGUUUACUCAAAGUCCAAUGAAGAAGUGGUUCUCCAAGCCAACCAAGUAAUGGCAUUUGGAUCAAAGAAAACAUUUGCUGGAUGUUCAAAACCUCACAUUCUACCAUCGAUGUAUCCAUCUAAUUCACAGCCACUCCCAUACCAUGCCUCACCUCCAUCCAACUACAAAUCCCCACCAUUACUGCACCAGCAUUCACCACCUCCUUCAAACAAGUUUCCACCUCCAUCGUAUCAGUAUCCAUCACCUCCCCAGAACUUCUACUCUUCGCCACCCCCAUCAAACAACUACCAAGCUCCACCAACAUCUAACAAUCCAACACCAACCCACAAGUAUUUAUCACCUCCAUACUACUACAACUCCCCACCUCCAAACAGCCACGUAGCUCCACCGCUGCCAUACCUGCAGUCCCCACCUCCGUACAACUACAAGUCGCCUCUUCUACCAUUGUCACCAGCGCCUCCUCGCCAUUAUAACUCUCGACCUCCAUCUAACUAUGGAUCUUCACCCCCACCUUACCAAUAUUCUCCACCUGUACCACCAAAACAUCUACAACCAAAUGUUCCUCAUGCUAAUCAGCCACCAGCAUCAAUAUCACCACAGCCUCUUUACCCCUACAGCUCUCCACCACCAUAUCUGAACUCGAACCAAUCCCCACCACCACCGAUUCAGCUUCCUCAUGUAAAAUCGCCACAAGUUUCUUCAACAUCUCCACAGCCUCUUUACCCCUAUGGCUCUCCACCAUCAGCAUCAAUAUCUCCACAGCCUCUUUACCCCUACAGCUCUCCACCACCAUAUCUGAGCUCUUACCAAUCCCCACCACCACCGAUUCAGCUUCCUCAUGCAAAAGCGCCACCAGUUCCUUCAACAUCUCCACAGCCUCUGCACCACUACAGCUCUCCACCACCAUCACUUAUGAACUCCCACCAAUCCCCGCCACCACCGAAUCGCCUGUCAUGA
rnacentral:rRNA from 1 species